rnacentral:tRNA from 1 species
GUCCGGGUGGCGGAAUAGGCAGACGCGCUAGCUUGAGGUGCUAGUGCCCAGCAAUGGGCAUGGGGGUUCAAGUCCCCCCUCGGACACCA